rnacentral:lncRNA from 1 species
AUGGUUCAGCUCCCCGGGUUCAAGGUCUCUCACUUUCUCAGAGGGCUUUCCCCCUACACCUCAAUCCAAAAAAAAAAAAAAAGACCACCCACCACGAGGUACAUAACAAUGCCCGGGGACGUCCUCCCAGCUGACUCCAGGCCCGGAGAACCCCUUCUAUCAAAGCAACGGCGGGGACCCAGAUCUGGUUUAAAAAGGGCAAAGUCAAGGCCACGGAUAACACAACCCCCAACAAGCCCAGAACUCCCUCAUCCAGCCAGCCCGCAGGGCUCCUCUCCCCAUCCCUCCUCCCUGCCUCCCUCACAGCCUUCCUCCAAAUCUGCAAAAGGAAAAAAAAAAAAAAGAAAAAAAAUCAUAAUAAAACCAGUUCUCACCAACAGGGGGGGAGGAGGAGGGGGAGGAAGCGAGGAGGCUGAGCCGACAGCACAGAUCCGCCUCCGCUGCCUGCACCAGACCCUCAGAGAGCCGGAGCGCGCGACAGGCGGCUGGAGGGCCCUCGCUUCCAAAAAAAUAAACCUACAAUGUAAAAAUAACGCCGGGCGCCCUACGUUAAUUGGACCCGGGCGACAGCAGCUCACAGGGCUGCAUUUCUGGGGUGUUUGCUGCCCAUCUGCUUGCAUCUUUGCUCUCGGGAGCCAGUGGGGUAAGAACAGAGACAUCCAAGGAGGACGAAGGUCCCCGCAGCCUUGCUCACGGCGCCCCAGGGCGAGCUGCCUGAGUGGACGUCAGUGGGGCAGGCCGUGUGGAGCCUGGGCAUUCUUCCAAUGGAACAGUCGGCAGCCGUGGAUGAGCACAGAACAGGCUUUUGGACAUCUGGUUUUGGACAUCCCCGCGUGCACUUCUGGAUUUUUUUUCUUGAGAUUCAGGAGGUCUCCUUUCCGGCAUCUUUGUACCACAUUUGCUGUUUUUCAGCCUCCCAGAGAAUGUUAGGAAUUAGCCCCUGGGUGGCCUGACCUCCUGGUUGGGCCUGGGAAGCCAAGCAAAAGCCCCAGCCUUCCCAGGGUGGCGGCGGCACGGAUGUCCGGACACUAUAAGAAUCCACAUUGCAGCGGUUACUACACGUGGUUCUCAGAGCAGCCUUGGCCUGAACAGCCCCACAUAUGGGCCCAGAGCACAGGCCCCUGGUCGAGGCAAGGUCAGAACCCAGAGGCCUGUCCACAGCUGGCGAGGCUCACCAUCUUGUGUGUCCCUCCUGUGUCCCCUCUGGCUUUUACCCAACAAAAUCAAUAAAAAUUCUCAUUUUGAAAAUAUCA